ACCACCAUCUCAACCCACCCCCGCACUACUCCCCCUGGUCAAACGGGGCUCCCCCACCUCCCGACCUAGCAACCACGCAACGCCGCCCGCCCCGGCCACAAACCACCCCAAGCCGCCGGCCACCACCCCGCGCCGCCCGCCGCCGCCCCCCUGCCCAACGGCCGCCCCGUACCCGACGCGCCACCCCGAGCUCCCCCCUUCCCACCUCCAAAUCGCCGUCAACCACCACCACCGCGCCGCCCCCUCCACCUGCCAUCGAACCCCACAAAAAUUCGGUCGUCCCUAGUGCCCCACUCCUCCCUCCUCUACCGCGGGCGCCAGCCUUCCUCCGUGCGGGCCAGCGCGGCCACAUCCUGGGUCCAACGCCGCCUGGGACACGGUGCCACAUUCCCCGAUGGAUCAGGUCGCCGCCACCGGUCCUCAAUCUAUAUCGACCGCCGUCGCUGGUCCACUUCUUCUUCGGAGAGCACGUCGGAUCCGUCCCUCACCGGCAGCGGCCACUGCCUUGCCCCGCGACGGCCGGCGUCCACUACCAAGCCCCACGCCGGUGACGCCCAGGCUCCAUGGUUCACCCGAAUCUGACGAGAUCCACAUCAUGUCGAUCCUCCACCGUCGGAUACUAACUCCCUGUCGGCUGUCUCUCGUCUCCCCGCCAUGCCCCAUCUUCUUCUCCUUUUGCUCCGCCCGGGGCAAGGAGCCAAGGACAGGCUCUGCAGCUCCUAGGAUGAGGGAUUCUGCGCCCACCGGCCUCCCCAUGUGGGGUGUAGUUCGCUAGGUGAUGAGAGUGCAGUUCGGUCGUGUCUCCUGCUCCACCUAGCGUCCUCGUCUCCUCUCCGGGCAGGGGCCACCCCGUGGCAUGGACCCCCGUCCGCGAUCUCCUCUCGGGCGAGGUCACUUUGCCGACAUCAUUGGUCCUUCGACAAGGGACCUGCGGUUCGCCCCUUCCCCUUAGCGGCCCAACGGCCACCACGAGCCGGGAGUAUACAUGUGCUUAUUUUGUUUUGUUUCUAUUCUUGAAGUGUAAUUCGCUUCUUCCCGCCAAAAAAAGAAGUGUAAUUUGCUUCUGGGAGACGAUAAUGCUUGUUUUGUUGUGCGAUGGGAUUAUACAUGUCCUAUAACAUUUAUGAUGUAACUUUCCAUAUUUGUAACUCUGACUCAUGCCAUUUUCGGCUAUGUGAUAUGAUAUUUUCCUUCGUGGUUGGGUUUUGUCUU